rnacentral:rRNA from 1 species
GAUGAACGCUAGCGGCAGGCCUAACACAUGCAAGUCGAGGGGUAGAAGUUUUCGGACUUUGAGACCGGCGCACGGGUGCGUAACGCGUAUGCAAUCUGCCUUACACUAAGGGAUAGCCCAGAGAAAUUUGGAUUAAUACCUUAUAGUAUAUUGAUGUGGCAUCACAUUAUUAUUAAAGAUUUAUUGGUGUAAGAUGAGCAUGCGUCCCAUUAGCUAGUUGGUAUGGUAACGGCAUACCAAGGCUAUGAUGGGUAGGGGUCCUGAGAGGGAGAUCCCCCACACUGAUACUGAGACCCGGACCAGACUCCUACGGAAGGCAGCAGUGAGGAAUAUUGGUCAAUAGGCGCAAGCCUGAACCAGCCAUGCCGCGGGCAGGAUGAAGCAUCUAUGGUGUUUAAACUGCUUUUGUACGGGAAGAAACACCUCUACGUGUAGAGGCUUGACGGUACCGUAAGAAUAAGGAUCGGCUAACUCCGUGCCAGCAGCCGCCGUAA